CGGAUUUAUAUAUAAGAAAUUCAAACAACUACAAUAACUAAAACCGAAACUAUUUUGAUGCACGUUCUUUCGUGCUCUUGAAACAAAAACGGUAAAUAAGCGUCCGCUGAGCAUAACCGUCCAUUAAGUUUAUAACUCUUCAGUGUAUCAUAUUAAGCUUUUCAAGAGAUAAUCUUUGGCAAAUGGUGGGAAAGAGCCGACCCUUAAUUGGAAGAAAGCUACUGUGAGCCGGACGAAAACUAGUGCAUACUGUGAAGUCUAUGUACAUCUAUGGACACGUCUUGUGGUAAGAAAAACUCCUUAAGCAAAUUCGUAAAGGCUAUCUUUCCGUGCAAAAGCACGGAAAGCCAUUGGUAAUGCCUUACAACCUUUUCUGUCGUGUUGGAUUUGCAAUCCCAUCGGAUUAGGAAAGUGAAGGAUAAGACAGAGCACUUGUGUUUGCGAACGCACUUGUGCGUAUGUACUGCGCAGUUGGCUAGACUCCCUUCAAAAUUAAAUGGGAUUUUUGUACUUGUAAUAUGUUUUUCUCCGUUUAUUGUUUUCAACGUUGCUGCAUUGGUGCAGCGCCAGUGUGACUGGGGUUUUGUUAAGAUAUGUAUUUAAAUUAUUGCGGUCCGGUAUAAAGGCUCCACCUCCUCAACCUCAACACAACUACUGAUGAUUGGGUGCUAAUUAUCCAGAUCAGUGAAUACAAAGCCCUGCCACCAGUGACAGUUAAUUACCAAAGUAUGUCAAAUACUAGUCAUACAUCUAAAAUUCUAUAUAAUUAAAAUGUUUUAAGAAUAUUUAC